rnacentral:rRNA from 1 species
AGUGAACGCUGGCGGUAGGCCUAACACAUGCAAGUCGAACGGCAGCACAGUAAGAGCUUGCUCUUACGGGUGGCGAGUGGCGGACGGGUGAGGAAUACAUCGGAAUCUACUUUUUCGUGGGGGAUAACGUAGGGAAACUUACGCUAAUACCGCAUACGACCUACGGGUGAAAGCAGGGGAUCUUCGGACCGUGCGCGAUUGAAUGAGCCGAUGUCGGAUUAGCUAGUUGGCGGGGUAACGGCCCACCAAGGCGGCGAUCCGUCGCUGGACUGAGAGGAUGAUGAGCCACACGGAAGCUGAGACGCGGUCCAGGCUCCUACAGGAGGCAGCGGUGGGGAAUAUUGGACAAUGGGCGGAAGCCUGCACCAGGCAUACCGCGUGGGUGAAGCGGGCCUUCGUGUUGUAAAGCCCUUUUGUUGUGGAAGAAAAGCAGCAGGUUGAUACCCCGGUGUUCUGACGGUACCCGAAGAAGAAGCACCGGCUAACUUCGUG